CCGAUUGUGAGUUUACAAACCAUGGAUCUCAGACCAACCUCGAUUCCUAUCUUUAGGCAUUCUACGGUUAUUUUUUCCUUCAAAGAAGAAAUCAUCUUCCUGUGAAAUUUAUUAUUUUUUUGGUGGUUUGUCUGUCCAGAUUCGGAUAUUAAGAUACUGCCCACUGAUGAAAGAUGUUGAUUAUUUGGAUCCGAAAGAGAAGUUAUUCCACUUGGAGUUGGAGUUGGAGUUGAAUUGUAGACAUUGUUCUUACAAUGGAUCUCAGACCAGCCUCGAUUCCAUGUUUAAGCAUUCUAUAUUCAUAUUUUCGUUUUUGUUAUUUUGUUUACAAUGGAUCUUUCAUUGCAGGUUAUUUUGUUUUAAUUUAUCUCAAUUCGCAUUUCAAUUAUUAUUUUUGGUUUGGGUGUCCAGAAAGAAAAGUUAUUCCACUUGGAGUUGUAGGCAGAUAUUUUGAAAGAUGUAAACAUUGGUCUUACAAUGGAUCGAUUCCAUGUUUAAGCAUUUUAUUGUCAAUUUUAUGGAUCUUUGAUUGCGAGUUA